GUCUGAAUAGCUAAGCAAAUGAACUUUGAGUCAGGGUUAGAGUCAGGUAGCCCAGAGCAGGAAAGUCCCAUCUGAGGAUCCCAUCUGUCCUGUCUCUGUUUGCCUCCUUUUCAGCUUUGAUACUGGAUCAGUGACAGCUGCUCUGCAAGAUGUACAAGCCCUCCCAGUGAAAAGCCUGCAUACCCCAGUCUGCUAGCUAUCUCUGUAAACAGUGUUGGAAGUGCUGGGUAUCUUGUUGUCGGAUGGCGCCAGUGAAAGGCAUCCUCUAUAAGAUCUGCACUUCCUGGACGAUGAACGGAAAAAGUCAAGUUUCUGUUCCCAGAAGGUCAGACACUGGCCAACCCAUGACUCUACAAAUGGAACAGUAAACUGUGGCAACUAGUAGAAGCCACAGAGACAACACUGCAUUCCAGAGAUUGUGGUGGAAAUUACUUUAACUAUGUAAAGAUGUGUUACAUUUGCUUAUGCU
rnacentral:lncRNA from 1 species